AAGGAGUCCAACACAUACGCGAGUGUUUGGGUGGCAAACCCGAGCGCGAAAUGAAAGUGAAUGUAGGUGGGAUCCUUCGGGUGCACCAUCGACCGGUCUGGAUUCUUUUGAAAGAUCUGAGUAAGAGCGUAUUUGUUGGGACCCGAAAGAUGGUGAACUAUGCCUGAGUAGGGUGAAGUCAGGGGAAACCCUGAUGGAGGCUCGUAGCGUUGUUGACGUGCAAAUCACUCGUCAAACUUGGGUAUAGGGGCGAAAGACUAAUCGAACCAUCUAGUAGCUGGUUCCCUC
rnacentral:misc_RNA from 1 species